AGUGAGGAAUAUUGGGGCAAUGGGCGCAAGCCUGACCCAGCCAUGUCGCGUGCAGGAAGACGGUUCUACGAAUUGUAAACUGCUUUUCUAUGGGGAGAAACACAGGGACGUGUCCCUGUCUGCCUGUACCAUAGGAAUAAGCAUCGGCUAACUCCGUGCCAGCAGCCGCGGUAAUACGGAGGAUGCGAGCGUUAUCCGGAUUCAUUGGGUUUAAAGGGUGCGUAGGCGGAUUGGUAAGUCAGGGGUGAAAGUUUGCCGCUCAACGGUAAAAUAGCCUUUGAUACUGUCAAUCUUGAGUGAACGCGAGGUAUGCGGAAUGAGUAGUGUAGCGGUGAAAUGCUUAGAUAUUACUCAGAACACCGAUUGCGAAGGCAGCAUACUAGAGUUCAACUGACGCUGAUGCACGAAAGCGUGGGUAGCGAACAGGAUUAGAUACCCUGGUAGUCCACGCCGUAAACGAUGGUCACUAGCUGUAUGCGAUAUAUUGUAUGUGGCAAAGCGAAAGCAUUAAGUGACCCACCUGGGGAGUACGUUGGCAACGAUGAAACUCAAAGGAAUUGACGGGGGCCCGCACAAGCGGUGUAACAUGUGGUUUAAUUCGAUGAUACGCGAGGAACCUUACCCGGGCUUAAAUGUAGGCUGCAUAGAUCAGAGAUGGUCUUUUCUUCGGACUGCUUACAAGGUGCUGCAUGGUUGUCGUCAGCUCGUGCCGUGAGGUGUCGGGUUAAGUCCCAUAACGAGCGCAACCCCUAUCGUUAGUUGCCAUCAGGUAGUGCUGGGGACUCUAACGAGACUGCCGGUGUAAACCGCGAGGAAGGUGGGGAUGACGUCAAAUCAGCACGGCCCUUACGUCCGGGGCUACACACGUGUUACAAUGGCCGGUACAAAGGGCAGCUACCCCGCGAGGGGAUGCGAAUCUCAAAAACCGGUCACAGUUCGGAUCGGAGUCUGCAACCCGACUCCGUGAAGCUGGAAUCGCUAGUAAUCGCGCAUCAGCCAUGGCGCGGUGAAUACGU
rnacentral:rRNA from 1 species